rnacentral:misc_RNA from 1 species
UUUCCGUGGGUGAACCUGCGGAAGGAUCAUUAAUGAGUUGUCAUGGGGUUCGAUGCUGGCAGCCAAUUUUUGGAUGCAUGUGCUUGCCCUAACAAUCAUCCUCCAAACACCUGUGCACAUUUUUGAGGGAGUCUUGAGUUGGUUGCCGCUCUUGGGUGAUUUUCUCACAUUCCCUUAAAUCAUUAUACGCUAUUAACAAUGUUGAACGUGCUCUGUGCCGCAAGGCUAUUAAUAUAAUACAACUUUUAACAACGGAUCUCUUGGCUCUC